rnacentral:rRNA from 1 species
GUUGCUGCUGGUUCUCUAGGGAGCAUGUGCACACUUGUCAUCUUUAUAUCUCCACCUGUGAACCUUUUGUAGACCUGGAUAUCUCUCUCUGAAUUGAAUGCCUGGAAAAUUCAGGAUUGAGGAUUGAUUUUUUUUGUCUUUCCUUGUGUUUCCAGGUCUAUGUUUUUCAUAUACCCCCCAUGUAUGUUUAUAGAAUGUAAUGAACGGGCCUUUUGUGCCUAUAAACUUAUACAACUUUCAGCAACGGAUCUCUUGGCUCUCGCAUCGAUGAAGAACGCAGCGAAAUGCGAUAAGUAAUGUGAAUUGCAGAAUUCAGUGAAUCAUCGAAUCUUUGAACGCACCUUGCGCUCCUUGGUAUUCCGAGGAGCAUGCCUGUUUGAGUGUCAUUAAUAUAUCAACCCUCUUCAGGCUUUUGCAUGUUGAGUGUUGGAUGUGGGGGAUACUUUUUUUUGCUGGACUCUCUCUUGAGGUCAGCUCCCCUAAAAUACAUUAGCAAAACAAUUUGUUUACUGCUCAUUGGUGUGAUAACUAUCUACGCUGUUGACAGUAAAGCACGGUUUAGCUUCUAACAGUCCAUUGACUUGGACAACCUUUUAUCAAUGUGACCUCAAAUCAGGUAGGAUUACCCGCUGAACUUAAGCAUAU